AGUGAACGCUGGCGGUAGACCUAACACAUGCAAGUCGAACGGCAGCACAGUAAGAGCUUGCUCUUACGGGUGGCGAGUGGCGGACGGGUGAGGAAUACAUCGGAAUCUACUUUUUCGUGGGGGAUAACGUAGGGAAACUUACGCUAAUACCGCAUACGACCUACGGGUGAAAGCAGGGGAUCUUCGGACCUUGCGCGAUUGAAUGAGCCGAUGUCGGAUUAGCUAGUUGGCGGGGUAAAGGCCCACCAAGGCGACGAUCCGUAGCUGGUCUGAGAGGAUGAUAGGCAACACUGGAACUGGACAACGGCCCAGCCCCCUCGGGGGGGCGCAGGGGGGGAAUUUGGGACAAGGGGCGCAAGCCUGACCCAGCCAUCCCGGGGGGGGGAAGAAGGCCUUGGGGUGUAAAACCCUUUUUGUGGGGAAAAAAAAGCAGCAGGUUAAUCCCCCGCUGUUCGGAGGGAACCAAAAAAAAAAGCCCCGGCUAACUUCGUG
rnacentral:rRNA from 1 species